rnacentral:sRNA from 1 species
CCUCCUCGGCCUGUUGCGGGCAGAUGAAGUGGAUAUGGCUGUCAAUGCCGCCCGGCGUCAGGAUCGCGCCCUCGCCCGCGAUGAUGUCGGUGCCGGGGCCGAUGACGAUGGUCACGCCCGGCUGGAUAUCGGGGUUGCCGGCCUUGCCGAUGCCCGAAAUGCGGCCGUCCUUGAUGCCGACGUCCGCCUUGACGAUGCCCCAAUGGUCCAGGAUCACCGCAUUGGUGAUGACGACAUCGGCGGUCUCGGCCGAAACGCGCUGCGACUGCCCCAUCCCGUCGCGGAUG